UUUUUUUUUGUUUCGGGUGAACAAGGUUUCGGGGUUGGGUUUCGGGCUUGAUAUCAGUUUUGGGGUUGGCUGGUUUUGGUCAAACAUCGGCUUCUGUUCAAGCUUCAGUCAACGCAAGUCAAGGUCGGGUCAACCUUGGUCAACGGCAGCUUCGGAACGGGUCCGGCACGCUCAGAUUCAGUUUUAGCGCAGUUAGGUCCGACUCGGUCAAACCUAGUCAAUUCGGUCCAACUUAGUCAACCCAGCGAGUCAACUCAGCCGGUCAAUUCAGUUGACUCGGUCAACCUCCCAACGAGAUGAAGGGAUAUUAUAGAAUGCACGCUAGCGAGUCACGUCUUGGAAACGACAUCACAAAGUCAUAUUAA
rnacentral:lncRNA from 1 species